rnacentral:rRNA from 1 species
GAUGAACGCUGGCGGCGUGCCUAACACAUGCAAGUCGAGCGGAAGCGAGUUUUACACUGAAUUCUGGCAGCUUCCGAGUAGUAGAGUAGCUUUAUUCAAGCGUUCUGUGUACAAUGUCGGCGAGCGGCGGAAGGCUGAGUAACGCGUAGGAAUUUGUCCUACAGCGAGGAAUAACUUCGAGAAUGGGUGGCUAAUGGCGCAUAUGGUCUUCGGAUUAAAGCCUUCGGGGGGUUUGGGCGAAGCCUGCAUUGGAUUAGGUAGUUGGUAGGGGAAUGGCCUACCAAGCCGGCGAUCCAUAGCUGGUCGGAGAGGAUGAUCAAUCAGGCUGGAACUGAGACACGGUCCAGACUCCUACGCAAGGCAGCAGUAAGUAAUCUACCACAAUGGGCGAAGGCCUGAUGAAGCAACGCCGCGUAAAAGAUGAUUCCCUUCGUGUUGUAAACUUCUUUUAUACGUGGAGAAUAUGACGGUAACUCAUAAAUAAGCACCGGCUAACUACGUG